rnacentral:ncRNA from 1 species
CGGAAGCGAGAAUGUCGGCUUGAGUAACGAAACCAUUGGGGAGAACCCAAUGCCCCGAAAACCCAAGGUUUCCUCCGCAAGGUUCGUCCACGGAGGGUGAGUCAGGGCCUAAGAUCAGGCCGAAAGGCGUAGUCGAUGGACAACAGGUCAAUAUUCCUGUACUACCCCUUGUUGGUACGGAGGGACGCGUAAUAACUUCGUAUA